GACGAACGCUGGCGGCGCGCUUAACACAUGCGAGUCGAACGGAAAGGCCUGCUUUCCCUUGUGGAUUGCGGGUACUCGAGUGGCGAACGGGUGAGUAACACGUGAGUGAUCUGCCCCCAACUUGGGUAUAAGCCUGGGAAACUGGGUCUAAUUCCCGAUAGGACUGCAGGGUGGUGCCUGUGGUGGAAAACGAUUUUCUAGUGGUUGGGGAUGAGCUCGCGGCCUAUCAGCUUGUUGGUGGGGUAAUGGCCUACCAAGGCGGCGACGGGUAGCCGGCCUGAGAGGGUGGACGGCCACAUUGGGACUGAGAUACGGCCCAGACGCCUACGGGAGGCAGCAGUGGGGAAUAUUGGACAAUGGGCGGAAGCCUGAUGCAGCGACGCCGCGUGGGGGAUGACGGCCUUCGGGUUGUAAACUCCUUUCGACCGCGAGGAAGCCACCUGGUUGGAAGGGUGGUGACGGUAGUGGUAGAAGAAGCACCGGCUAACUACGUG
rnacentral:rRNA from 1 species